GAGGGUGUAGCUUAAGGAUAGAGCACAUACUUAGCAUGCACAAGGUCCUGGGUUCAAUCCCCAGUACCUCCA
rnacentral:tRNA from 1 species